UUGCCCUUGCCGAGCCCUCGCCACCGCCACACCUCAGCCCCCUCGCAACCACGACAGCACCUCAGCCCGCUCGCCGCCGCGUUCGCGCGUCAGCCCGCUAGACAUCCUCGCCUCCGCGGUCGCACCUCUGCCCGCUCGCCGCCCCCGUCGCAACCCAACGCCCCCUCCAAUGGAUGCCGCCCGAACUACAUCAUCCUAUAGGACGCCGGCCGCGGCGUCACGAAGUUGCUGGUAUCGCCCAGUUCGCCGUGGGUGAAGGCGCCUCAGACGCAAGCGAAGCUGCAGCUUCCUCAACGUAUGCCUCACCGUGGGGCUCGCUGUGCUGCUGGCGGACAGCGCGACCCCGCUGGUGUGGUGCGAGACUUCCAGAUCACCCGACGGCUGGGGUUGGAGGAUGGCAUUCCCACAACUCCUCAUCGGGGGUGAGCGUGGCCUGGAGCAGCAAGCCCAUAGCUCCCUCAACCAUCAUGCUAAUCUCUUCUUGUUAUUCAUCCUGAAUCUAUGGUGCACAUACAGUACAUGCUUAUGUAUUGUCUCAAUGAUUAUCCUAUUUUUUUAGGAUUCAACUUGCGUUUUGUGCAAUUUCAUAUACUCAAUCAAUAAAUUCUCAGUUUUUUUGCAGGAUUUGUGUUUGUUCGGAUGCUUAGGUGCAGCUGCAUCAAGGGAAUUGGCCGACGGUGUGCAAUACAUAGACAAAGCAAAAGUCAGUAUGGAGCAAAUACGAGUUCGGUUGCUCUUCUGACAAUUUCACCUUGAUUUUGUUGUUAGUGACUGAUUGAGGCGUCACUCCCACCACGGUGGUGACGGCAACCUUCCCCCUCCAGCCGUUGUGGUCGCAGCGUACCGCUCCAAUGCCAUCUGACACAACCGUCUUGUGGUGGAGGAGGGCCACCUCGAACACAUUGGGAAGCGGUGAGCGUGGGCUUCGCCACAUGUUCUGCCGAGUCAUCGAUGUCAGUUUCUAGGUUUGUGAGUGCACUGUCUGGUGCUUCUUUUUACGAUGUCUGUCAACACAAGCACAGCGUGCUCCAAGUAUGAACGGAGAGAGUGCUCCCAUUGGGUUCUACAUGUGGACAUUGUGGCCGGUGAGGCAUAACUGUAAGUUUCUCUGAUGGUCGACAACAAGGUACCCCGCUGCUCUGAAUUUUUACAUGGUUAAUGUGAGUUGAAUCAUCAAAGGUCUGCGCGUUGGUAAUGGUUGAAAAAUUCAUUGCAUUUGAGAAAACUGAUCAGUCUAUCAGUUCUCUAAUAAUACAUAUUACAGAAUGUACCUUUCUGUCCGAUCGUAGGAUCACUGCACAACAGGCUUUGGAGCAGGCUCUGAUUCACGGAGAACUCCCCAGCAACCUCAUCUUUUGUGGGUAUUAGAUGGAUAUUGAAUCCAAUUUUUCAGAGAAGAAAGAAGUCUAGAGGCGUGGAUGUAUGUUUUUAGGGGGGAAUCAAGUCUGCAGAAUAUACACUAAUUUGAGGAAUUCAGAUGUUACCCUUGGUCAUACAGGGAAAGUGUGAAGCACUCUGGCCAAUUUUCCGCAUUUCUCAUCCAAGAAGCCGUUACAUUUAUGAUCUUUUCUAUAGAAUAAGGAAGGAUAUAUCUAAGGAGCUGUAUGAAUUUUGCCUGGACCAGGAUUAUGCAGACCGUAAUCUCAUUACAAAGUGGAAAAAUGUUAGUUGCCUCAGCUUUAUAUCAUUUGAGCUAGGGGCCAAGACGGAUGAGGUUGAUUUGGCUUGAUCAUGCCAAAGAAAUUUACUUCUUUUUUGGAAAAUGAAAGCAUGUUUUAGAAGUUCAGGGUUAAGUUACCAAAUCUGAGCUUUAUAUCAAAGUAGAGGAUCAAGAAAAGCAGAGUAGGAUAAUAAAGGUUCACAUAGAUCUAGUAAUAUGUCACUAUCAGCUAGCUCAAGUAUGUAUGACUGUAGGAGUUCAGGAAUACUCUUACUAUGUCUUUGAUUUUGUUAAAGACCCAAUAUAUGAUGAGGUGCCGCCUCUCCUGAUGCCGAGCUAUUUAGAAUUUGGUAUUUCACAUUUUCUUUUCUCUGGCCAGUAAAUUUCACAAACAUAACUGCAGGUCAUUUGCUCCUGCGCAAUGAAACUGUUUCAAAAUUCAUAUUGUGUUUGACACCCUGAACCACUUUAUUAUAUAACAGAUUAUAACUUCCACUUCUUUUUUAUGCUGGACCAUGAUGAAUCAACAAUUUAUUAGAUAAAAAAUUUUAAUCCCUAGAGAAAAUCAGAGUAUUUAUCGACUAUAUAUGCUCUAUGGAUGUCGACAAAUUUGAUUGUAGGGGCUAGCAAUGCUUCAUUUCAAGAUACUGUAAUAACUCUUGCUGGUUAGUUACCUUUGAUCCUAGCAAGUGAAAUUAGAACUAAUACAUGUACAUGAUUGUUGUUUGAGUCGCACAGAUUGACACAUGUAUGAAUAAGUUUCAGUAUUAGAUUGGUGUAUUGAUCAUGGCUAUGUUGUGGAAGAGUUCUUGCAGGCAGUGUUCGAAAGUAGCAUACUUCCGUUCUCUGUAAAUUGGUACUGGAUAAAAAGGAUGUUCCAUUUUCUGUAAAUUGAUAGAAAAUGGAUGCAGGUGUGACCUUGGGGAAGAAAGAGUCGGACGACACAUGAAAGACUGAGAGGACCAGGGAUUCUUCUUUGCUGGUGGUAAGAUGGAGACCCUGCUUAGGGAACAUGUUGCGUACAUCCUCGCUGCUUUUCUUCUUUCAGUUUUAGAUACUUUCCAGCAGGCGUGUACCUAUCUUGCUAUGUACUGAAUUCUUUGCAACUAUGUACAAAAUUCUUUGCAACUAUGUACAAAAUUCUUUGCA